rnacentral:rRNA from 1 species
CUGGCGGCAGGCCUAACACAUGCAAGUCGAACGGUAACAGGAAGCAGCUUGCUGCUUCGCUGACGAGUGGCGGACGGGUGAGUAAUGUCUGGGAAACUGCCUGAUGGAGGGGGAUAACUACUGGAAACGGUAGCUAAUACCGCAUAACGUCGCAAGACCAAAGAGGGGGACCUUCGGGCCUCUUGCCAUCGGAUGUGCCCAGAUGGGAUUAGCUAGUAGGUGGGGUAACGGCUCACCUAGGCGACGAUCCCUAGCUGGUCUGAGAGGAUGACCAGCCACACUGGAACUGAGACACGGUCCAGACUCCUACGGGAGGCAGCAGUGGGGAAUAUUGCACAAUGGGCGCAAGCCUGAUGCAGCCAUGCCGCGUGUAUGAAGAAGGCCUUCGGGUUGUAAAGUACUUUCAGCGGGGAGGAAGGGAGUAAAGUUAAUACCUUUGCUCAUUGACGUUACCCGCAGAAGAAGCACCGGCUAACUCCGUGCCAGCAGCCGCGGUAAUACGGAGGGUGCAAGCGUUAAUCGGAAUUACUGGGCGUAAAGCGCACGCAGGCGGUUUGUUAAGUCAGAUGUGAAAUCCCCGGGCUCAACCUGGGAACUGCAUCUGAUACUGGCAAGCUUGAGUCUCGUAGAGGGGGGUAGAAUUCCAGGUGUAGCGGUGAAAUGCGUAGAGAUCUGGAGGAA